CAGGGGUUUUAACUUUGCUUACACAGUUGCCAGACUCCUGCUCCUUCAGCUGCUGCCCAUCCCCUUCCAGGACGGACAUUAUACAUCCUUCUUCCACUGCGUCAGUAAAGAAUUUGCAUUCAGGAGAAACAGGUGAUUGUGGAUGGGAGCACGCUGGCAGCUGCACCGGGAUGUAUAAGCUCUGCUAACUGAUGUUUCCAAGCACCAUCUGCAUGAUCCCAGCCGUGGAGUACGUUAACAGAGGAUACUGUGAAGGCAACAGCCACUGCUGGAGAAGGAAAGUUGGGUGAAGUGACUGCUCUGAACUGGCAAAAGAAGUUGUAUGAUCCGAGAGCUCCUAAAGAGCAUAACAAAGGCUAACAGUCAUGAUUCUCUCUACUUUGCCUAUAUUUUACGUAUGCCUGGAGCUGGAAAUAGGACUUCCGCUGCUGAAACUUCC